CCUACGGGUGGCAGCAGUGGGGAAUAUUGGACAAUGGUCGAGACCCUGAUGCAGCAACGCCGCGUGAGUGAUGAAGGUUUUCGGUAUGUUAAACUCUAUCAGCCGGGAAGCAGAUGACGGUACGUGACUAAGAAGCCCCGGCUAACUACGUGCCAGCAGCCGCGGUACUACGUAGGCGGCCAGCGUUAUCCGGAUUAACUGGUGGUAAAGGGAGCGUAGACGGCAUAGCAAGUCUGAAGUGAAAGCCCAAGGCUCAACCACGGGACCGCUGUGGAAACUGUUAGGCUAGAGUGCGAGAGAGGUAAGCGGAAUUCGUAGUGUAGCGGUGAAAUGCGUAGAUA
rnacentral:rRNA from 1 species